AGGGAUCAUUACAGAGUUUUCUAACUCCCAAACCCUUUGUGAACUUACUAUUUUGUUGCCUCGGCGGGCCUCUGAGAUUCGUCUCACGUCCGCCGAUGGCCCUUUAAACUCUGUUACUUUUAAGCAAUCUGAGUCUUUUAUAAAAUAAAGUCAAAACUUUCAACAACGGAUCUCUUGGUUCUGGCAUCGAUGAAGAACGCAGCGAAAUGCGAUAAGUAAUGUGAAUUGCAGAAUUCAGUGAAUCAUCGAAUCUUUGAACGCACAUUGCGCCUAUUAGUAUUCUAGUAGGCAUGCCUGUUCGAGCGUCAUUUCAACCCUUAAGCCUAGCUUAGUGUUGGGAGUCUACGGUAAAACGUAGUUCCUCAAAGACGUUGGCAGAGCUCAAUCGAUCUCUCAGCGUAGUAAUUUUUCUCGUUGUAGAAGACGGUUGGGCGAUAGCCAAGAAACCUAUUAUUUUUUAAUGGUUGACCUCGGAUCAGGUAGGAAUACCCGCUGAACUUAAGCAUAUCAAUAAGCGGAGGAAAAGAAACCAACAGGGAUUGCCUCAGUAACGGCGAGUGAAGCGGCAACAGCUCAAAUUUGAAAUCUGGCCUAGCCCGAGUUGUAAUUUGCAGAGGAUGCUUUUGGUGAGGUGCCUUCCGAGUUCCCUGGAACGGGACGCCAUAGAGGGUGAGAGCCCCGUACGGGUKGGAUGCCGAGCCUCUGUAAAGCUCCUUCGACGAGUCGAGUAGUUUGGGAAUGCUGCUCUAAAUGGGAGGUAAAUUUCUUCUAAAGCUAAAUACCGGCCAGAGACCGAUAGCGCACAAGUAGAGUGAUCGAAAGAUGAAAAGCACUUUGAAAAGAGGGUUAAAUAGCACGUGAAAUUGUUGAAAGGGAAGCGUUUAUGACCAGACAUUACCCGGUAAGGAUUACCCUCCGGGUGAGGCCAACAUCGAUUUUCUCAGGGGGAUAAAGGUUUAGGGAACGUAGCUCCUCGGAGUAUUAUAGCCCUUUUCGUAAUACCCUUGGGGGGAUCGAGGUUCGCGCU
rnacentral:rRNA from 1 species